rnacentral:ncRNA from 1 species
ACAAAGUUUGAUUUUAGCUUGUUUAUUAGUUUAUUAGUUUUAUAUUGUAUGUAAAUAAUUUAUAAUUAGAAGAAUUAUUUUAUUUUAAAAAUAAAAUAAGUUUUUAAAAAUUACAACAAUUAGUUUUAUGAAUUUAUUAUUUAAAGAUAGAUAUAGAUAUUUAAUUGAAAUUUGGUUAAAAUUAGUGCCAGCAGUCGCGGUUAAACUAAAAAUUUAAAUUAAUAAUAAUUUAUUAGAUAGUUACUUGUUUAAAAUAUUUUAAUUUUUAAUUUUAUAUAUAAUUAAAAGGUGAAAUUUGAAGUUAUUUUAAAUUUAUAGGAGAUUUUAUUUAGUAAGAAAACUAUUAAGAAAUAUUUUUUAGACAAGGAUUAGAUACCCUAUUAUUUAUUUAUUAAAUUAAAAAUAUAAUGGUAGUAGAUUAAAAUAUAAAUCUAAAAGAUUUGGCGGUACUUGAAACUUAUUAGAGAAACUUGUUUUAAUAAUCGAUAAUCCUCGAAGAAUUUCACCUUUAUUUGUAAUUAACAGUUUGUAUACCGUCAUAGAUGUGAUUUUUAUAAAAUUAUUAAUUAUUUAAAUAAACUAGAUUAGUUAGACAUUAGAUCAAGGUGCAGCUUAUAUAAAGGAUAAAGUGAGUUAUAAUAUUAUUAAAUAUAUAGAUGGAUAAUUAUUUGAAAAAAGUAAUUUGAAAAUGAAUUUAAUUGUAAUUAAUAAUUUUAAUAAGAUUUAUUGAUAAUAGUUCUGAAGUAUGUACAUAUCGCCCGUCGCUUUCAUUUAAUUAGAUGAGAUAAGUCGUAACAUAGUAGAUGUACUGGAAAGUGUAUCUAGAAAUAG